rnacentral:snoRNA from 1 species
GUGACGUAUUCCAUAGGAUCAUUUCUAUAGGACAUGUCUCUCAUGACUUCUUAAAAGAAGCCACUUAUUCAAACCUUGGUUGAUGAGGAUAGAACCUGCAAACCCCAGAGUGAGAACACAUUUGUUUGAUUGUUUGUCCUUGUGACUCAGUCAUCUUAUUAUUCCCGGCGCCCUAGGGCGUUCAAGGAGCGAUGAUCUUGUCCCUUUGUUUGAGCCUCUCCGGAGGAGUGACUUAGGGUGGGUUUGUAUGGCAGUCUGACAAGUC